rnacentral:lncRNA from 1 species
UUGUUAGGCUUUUUCCAUUUUUCCUUGAUGGAUUCACAAUAUGUAAAUGUUUAUGAGAGAUUCAAGAUUUGAUCACAAAUGAUACCUAAAACAAUACUAUACCAAAGGAGUAUACAUCGGAUUUUUUUUUUUUUUUUGUUAAAAGUCCUUCCUUAAUUGGAACUAACAAUUGAAUUUGGUGUAUACCCUUUGAUAUAAUAUCAGUUUGGUAUUUUCUGAAAUUGGGGGACCAGUGUAAUUAAUUGUAUUGUAGCGACGAGUCUAAUUUAGGCUGGUUAUUGUACGAAACUUAAUCAUAACCCAGUUUAACUAGUUUAAUACCUGUCCAUCGGACGGGUACUUUGACAUCAAAAAGACAUAAUUAUAUUUUUCUUUGCAUUCUAAACAAAAAAGAUUAUUAGACCAUGUGUAGUGGUUAAGUCAAAUAAUGCCCCCACCAUGGGGCGUUUUGCGACACGUGACAGUCCAGUCCAGUCAGCAUGGGGCAUUAUUGCAAAAGUGACGUAGUGCGAAUAAUGCCCACCAUGGGGCGUUUUGCGACACGUGACAGUCCGUUUUUUUUUAAUUUAAAACAUAAAAAACUUUAUUAAUUUAAAAUAAAAAUUACUUUAUUAAUUUAAAAUAAAAAUUACACUACUUGAAAUAAAA